rnacentral:rRNA from 1 species
UUGGAGGGCAAGUCUGGUGCCAGCAGCCGCGGUAAUUCCAGCUCCAAUAGCGUAUAUUAAAGUUGUUGCAGUUAAAAAGCUCGUAGUUGAAUUUCGGGGUUAGUAGGUUGGUCAUGCCUCUGGUAUGUACUGGUCUCACUGAUUCCUCCUUCCUGAUGAACCUUAAUGCCAUUAAUUUGGUGUUUUGGGGAAUUUGGACUGUUACUUUGAAAAAAUUAGAGUGUUUAAAGCAAGCUAACGCUUGAAUACAUUAGCAUGGAAUAAUGAAAUAGGACGUUCGAUCCUAUUUUGUUGGUUUCUAGGAUUGACGUAAUGAUUAAUAGGGAUAGUUGGGGGCAUUAGUAUUCAAUUGUCAGAGGUGAAAUUCUUGGAUUUAUUGAAGACUAACUACUGCGAAAGCAUUUGCCAAGGAUGUUUUCAUUAAUCAAGAACGAAAGUUAGGGGAUCGAAGACGAUCAGAUACCGUCGUAGUCUUAACCAUAAACUAUGCCGACUAGGGAUCGGAUGAUGUUAAUUUUUUAAUGACUCAUUCGGCGCCUUACGGGAAAA